GACGAACGCUGGCGGCGUGCUUAACACAUGCAAGUCGUACGGUAAGGCCCUUUCGGGGGUACACGAGUGGCGAACGGGUGAGUAACACGUGAGUAACCUGCCCACAACUUUGGGAUAACGCUAGGAAACUGGUGCUAAUACUGGAUAUGUGCUCCUGCUGCAUGGUGGGGGUUGGAAAGCCCCGGCGGUUGUGGAUGGACUCGCGGCCUAUCAGCUUGUUGGUGGGGUAGUGGCCUACCAAGGCGGCGACGGGUAGCCGGCCUGAGAGGGUGACCGGCCACAUUGGGACUGAGAUACGGCCCAGACUCCUACGGGAGGCAGCAGGGGGGAAUAUUGCACAAGGGGCGCAAGCCUGAUGCAGCAACGCCGCGUGCGGGAUGACGGCCUUCGGGUUGUAAACCGCUUUCAGCAGGGACGAAGCUUUUUGUGACGGUACCUGCAGAAGAAGCACCGGCUAACUACGUG
rnacentral:rRNA from 1 species